rnacentral:lncRNA from 1 species
AGCUCAACCUGAAAACAUAAUUAUAAGAUGCUCUAAUUUAUUUGUCACAAUGUUUUCUACAUAUAGUUAAAUACUAAAUUGAUUAAUAUCGUUGCAUCUAGUUUGUAAUUAAAAAUCAAUAUAGAUUUUAUACUUAUGUAUUUUAUAUAAAUGUUAACAUGAUUAAUUGCAAACAUAACCAUAUUUCUAAACUAUAAUUGUCC